ensembl:lncRNA
UACUUGAUGGAGUAAUUUCUUCCCCACUAUUUGUUUCUAGUUUUUUUUUUUUUAAAUUAGAAUUUUUAAGGCAAAGAACUUGACUUCCAUGAUCAAUUCAAGGCAUCUGACCUGAAUCAUAACAAUAGCUUACACUGAUAGGGUACUUUUCAUAUAGAAACUCAUUUAAUUUUCAUAACAGCCCUAUGGAAUAGAUGCUUUUAUUAUCCCCAUUUUGCAGAUGAGGAAACUGAGAUUGAUAGUUUAAGUAACUUGCUCGGGCUCUGAUAGCUAGGAAGUGCCUGAGACAGGAUUUAAAUUCAGAACCAGGUGGCUCCAAGUUCAUUGUAUUUUUCCAUUUUACUGCAAAGGAUAAAGUCAUAGGCUGCCCUUAAUGAAUCUAGGACAGCUGGCCUAGAUAACAAUAAUAGCUAAUAUUUUUAGAGUACUUCCUACAUAUUACCUCAUUUCAUCCUCACAGUGCCAUAGUGGUAUGUGUAAUAUUAUUUAUCAAUCUAUAUACAAAAUCUAUUACUUUUCUCCUUUCUAAGGUAGAGAAGUUGGAUUCACAUGGAUCCUGAGUUUGAAUCCUAGCUGUGCCAUUUUACAUUUUAUAGGUGAAGAAACUGAGUGUCCUCUUCCUGCUGAAAUUGAUUUGGACUCCAGGGGCCUCACCUGAUGGAUUUCUACUUUGGAGCCAAGGGAAAUAAAGAUUAGAAGAAUCUGAAAUAUCUGGAAUGGCUUCUCCUUUGCUCUCAGCUCCUAUUAGGCUCUCUUACAGCAUCAUAGACUUUAGACCUGGGAGGCAACUUGGAGAUCAGUGAAGAAACUGAGGCACAGAAACAUCCAGCAACUGGCACUUUAUCAUGUUGUUAGUAAGUAUGGAAGGUGGGAUUCAAAUUGAGGUUUAACUCAGCCUUAUUGCUCUGUUUCUAAAACAUAUCCUUGCAUGGACUGAACAUGGAUAGCUCUCUUCUAGCUCCUUUCCCCAAACACUAGC